CAGCCGCCGCGGUAAUACGUAGGGUGCGAGCGUUAAUCGGAAUUACUGGGCGUAAAGCGUGCGCAGGCGGUUAUAUAAGACAGAUGUGAAAUCCCCGGGCUCAACCUGGGACCUGCAUUUGUGACUGUAUAGCUAGAGUACGGUAGAGGGGGAUGGAAUUCCGCGUGUAGCAGUGAAAUGCGUAGAUAUGCGGAGGAACACCGAUGGCGAAGGCAAUCCCCUGGACCUGUACUGAUGCUCAUGCACGAAAGCGUGGGGAGCAAACAGGAUUAGAUACCCCUGUAGUCCCUGUCUCUUAUAA
rnacentral:rRNA from 1 species